AGUUCUUCAGGGCUGUCUCUGUGAUCCAGGCUUUGAUCUGGGAAAGGUUGCGCCUCAUUGCAGAGUUGAAGCUAUCUGCCUGCUUUGUUUACACGAACGCCCUUCCAGGACUCUGUCUGCUUUUGGGGUGGAAGUGCCCUGCCAAAAACUCCAGCUCUCCAUGCUGGCUGUGUGGCCAGCAUACCUCCUGCCUUUUCAACGAUUCCUCUGCCCUGGAUAGAGAGCGGUGUCUCAUAACAGUUUGGAAACUACAAAAGUUUCCCUGGCAGGAUGAAUGAUUGACUCGGCAACAUGUUCUUGCCUUUUGGAGUUGCCCUCCAAUUUUUCCAGGCUUGAUUCUGUAAAUCAUUUCAUCUUGUAAAAAUACUGGGCUGUGAGCACGGAUGAUCUCAAAGAUGAGGAAACAGAAGCUGGGAUAUGUGAGUAAACAUUUCCAAGGUCCUGCAGCUAAUCAAUGGUUGACAACUUCUUUCCUCUGCCUAUGUUGCCAUCCAUGUCAUGGUUUGUGUCAAGACUCUAGGAGAAGUCUACCAUCAGCACCACAGCUACUGUGCACAAAUCCAGAAUGCCAGACUGAAGUCAGAAGGAAAGAGAUGAUGCAGCUCAUUGCUGAUGCUGAGAUCCAACGUCCAGUGCCUGAGUACCCCUGGAUUCUGAGCACUAGGGGCUGGACUGUGGAGACCAUCAGUUCAUAACAUCCUGUCCCUGCUCCCUGCUGUAGAUGACUGAGACCAGGAAAAAAAGCAUCUCUCUGAAGUUAAAUGGCAUUUCAUUUUGAUUAAUUGUAGAAAGAAGAUUGGAAAAAUCUCCCAUGACCAAGGAAAAUUGUGAAAAAUAUUUCUGAUAUUUUGUCUAUGCAUUUUAUUUUUGAGGGUGUUUUUUAUAUUAGUGUGACUAUUUUGUAUUUCCUACCCUGUUGUAAACUUUUUAAAAAUUGCUCUUACAGUUAUUACUAAGUAUAUGAUUUAAAAUCCCUAAUUAGGGUUCUUAAACAAGGGAGAAGCACUCUCAUACCCCUAGAACAAGAUGAACAAAAGAAGGAGGAAAAAUCUUGACCUCCGUAAGAUCCAGGAUGGCACGUGCAAGGCACUGACACAGCAUCUGCCGGCAUCACUGACUCUCCUGGACCCCAGAAGCCCAGUUCCCCAGGCUCUGAAACCCUGCAGCAAUGAAAAGGAAGCACAGGCAAACCAUAAGGAAGAUAAUUUUUCUACUAAAAAAUAAAUAGAAAUGCAUCCUUAGAGGCAGGUUUCAUGAGGACACAGAGAAUCCGGUUUUGUGUGUGCCUGAUUUCGUUUUUCUGUCAAAGAGAUACAAAACAAUCAACUGAGUUAUCUUGAACUUACAAAGAUUAAAAAUAAUCAAUUCCUGUUACUAUUUUCAAUUUUUCCCCCAUUUUACUUCUUUAGGUAUGAAGAAAUGUAGCCUAUUAAAACCUGGAUUAAUAAAAACCUUUCAUUAACUUUUAGAA
rnacentral:lncRNA from 1 species